GAUCAUGGGCUCAGGAUGAACGCUAGCUACAGGCUUAACACAUGCAAGUCGAGGGGCAGCAUGAACUUAGCUUGCUAAGUUUGAUGGCGACCGGCGCACGGGUGAGUAACACGUAUCCAACCUGCCGAUGACUCGGGGAUAGCCUUUCGAAAGAAAGAUUAAUACCCGAUGGCAUAAUUCUUCCGCAUGGUAGAAUUAUUAAAGAAUUUCGGUCAUCGAUGGGGAUGCGUUCCA
rnacentral:rRNA from 1 species